rnacentral:misc_RNA from 1 species
GUUGAAGAACGCAGCGAAAUGCGAUAAGUAGUGUGAAUUGCAGAAUUCAGUGAAUCAUCGAAUCUUUGAACGCACAUUGCGCCCCUUGGUAUUCCAUGGGGCAUGCCUGUUCGAGCGUCAUUUGUACCUUCAAACUUUGCUUGGUGUUGGGUGUUUGUCUCGCCUUUGCGUGUAGACUCGCCUUAAAAUAAUUGGCAGCCGGCGUAUUGAUUUCGGAGCGCAGUACAUCUCGCGCUUUGCACUCAUAACGACAGCGUCCAAAAGUACAUUUUACACUCUUGACCUCGGAUCAGGUAGGGAUACCCGCUGAACUUAAGCAUAUCAAUAAGCGGAGGA